CGCCAAGGUAUCUAACGCAUUCUUCAGCAGGGGUCAGUUAUGUCAGACAGAUGAACCCAAUCUUUUGAUCUGCAACCUGGAUAACCUGUACGCUUAACCACACAAGCACAGAGGACUCGGGUCCGGAUACGGGCAGUACUAUGGAUCUACUAUUCUGGGCGAGCCAGUUGGAGUAGGAAUCUUUGUAUGCUGUAGUAUCUGAUGGAUAGAGAAGGUUAUUACCCUGUGAUGAUGGAGGGAGGCUAAAGGAAAAUUAAAUCGGCAUAAAAGAAUUUAAAAAAAUAAUCAUAAUAAUCCCCUAUAGGUAAAAGUAGUACAGGACGGCUUAGAAAAAGUAGAAAGAGUGCCUUAGUAUUCCGGGGCAUCUACAAACAUUAAUGGGUUAGCCCAAAAUGUUUUGAUCAGAUGUGGAAUCUAUAGAUCAAUACCUCUGAAUUUAGCUUCAGACUAAUACUUGAACCCUAAUGUAAAAUAAUACUUUCCCUAUAACCUAACCGGUGAGGGAAUAUGUAAGGCAUGAGGGAAAGAUGGAAUAAAAAAAAUCAAAAGGGAAGAAAAAUUAUGCUAUUAA